rnacentral:lncRNA from 1 species
UCCGCCUAGGUGACUCUGCUCUGACUAUGAUCCAGACACCAGGUGCUCGAAUCAGAGCCUGUUCUCUCUCCUAUCUCCACUUUGCACACGAGAAGCAGUGUGUGACAAGUCCAUUGCCUGCCACGGAGGAGCAAGGGGAAGUCGAGAGGACAGGUAAAACCUGA